AAUAUAAUUCAUUGAAAUUUUUUCAAAUAAUAGCCGGAAGCUUAAUAGAUGGGAGGCGGGGGUGAGUUGUAGAGGUAGGGAUGAUAUGGAGGAGGUGAUGGAGAUGGUGGAGGUGGAGACUUGUAAAUAUAAGGAGGCGGUGGUGAAGGCGAAGGAGGUGGCGGUGACUUAUAGCCAUAUGGUGGAGGAGGUGAUGGAGAAGGUGGAGGUGGAGAUUUGUAGUAGUAUGGAGGAGGUGGUGAAGCUGAAGGAGGUGGAGGUGACUUAUAGACAUAGGGUGGAGGGGGUGAAGGAGAUGGUGGGGGAGGAGAUUUGUAAACAUAUGGAGGAGGGGGUGAAGGAGAAGGAGGAGGAGGGGACUUAUAGACAUAUGGAGGUGGUGGUGAAGGGGAUGGUGGUGGUGGUGACUUGUAGAUAUAUGGAGGCGGUGGUGAAGGAGAUGGUGGAGGAGGAGAUUUAUAAACGUAUGGAGGUGGUGGGGAUGGAGACGGUGGAGGUGGUGACUUGUAAACAUAUGGUGGGGGAGGAGAGGGAGAUGGAGGUGGUGGCGACUUAUAAAUAUAGGGUGGAGGAGGAGAAGGUGAUGGUGGGGGUGGGGACUUGUAAACAUAUGGAGGAGGAGGGGAAGGGGAAGGAGGUGGUGGUGACUUAUAUACAUAUGGUGGAGGGGGUGAAGGUGAUGGUGGGGGUGGAGAUUUGUAGACAUAUGGAGGUGGUGGAGAUGGGGAUGGUGGAGGUGGUGACUUGUAGACAUAUGGUGGAGGGGGGGAUGGAGAUGGGGGUGGUGGUGAUUUAUAUACAUAUGGUGGGGGAGGGGAGGGUGAUGGUGGAGGAGGAGACUUGUAUAUAUAUGGUGGAGGGGGUGAUGGGGAUGGUGGUGGUGGGGACUUGUAAAUAUAUGGAGGUGGUGGAGAUGGGGAUGGUGGUGGUGGUGACUUGUAGACAUAUGGAGGAGGAGGUGAAGGGGAUGGAGGUGGUGGUGACUUGUAAACAUAAGGUGGGGGAGGUGAGGGUGAUGGUGGAGGAGGAGACUUGUAGACAUAUGGAGGUGGUGGUGAUGGAGAGGGUGGUGGUGGACUCUUAUAGACAUAUGGUGGGGGAGGUGAAGGAGAUGGAGGAGGUGGUGACUUGUAGACAUAUGGAGGAGGAGGAGAGGGAGAUGGAGGUGGUGGGGACUUGUACACAUACGGAGGAGGUGGUGAGGGAGAUGGUGGAGGUGGAGAUUUGUAGUAAUAAGGUGGGUAUUUGUGGACAUAUGGAGGUGGUGGCGAUGGAGAAGGUGGAGGUGGGGAUUUGUAGUAAUAUGGAGGUGAUUUGAAAUAAUAUGGUGGCUGUUGUCCAUGACUUGGUGGUGUUGGUUGCGGAUAGUUGUUGUUUGGUUGGCCGCCAUAGUAAGGCUUAUAAUCAUCAGCAGCGACACUGCUUGCAAUUACGCAAAAUGCUAUUGCGUAGAUGAGUUGAGGCAAAUGCCUCAACCCAAAUGAG
rnacentral:lncRNA from 1 species